GACGAACGCUGGCGGCGUGCUUAACACAUGCAAGUCGAACGCUGAAGCUCAGCUUUUGUUGGGUGGAUGAGUGGCGAACGGGUGAGUAACACGUGAGUAACCUGCCUCCUUCUUUGGGAUAACGCCCGGAAACGGGUGCUAAUACUGGAUAUUCACUGGUCUUCGCAUGGGGGUUGGUGGGAAGGGUUUUUCUGGUGUGGGAUGGGCUCGCGGCCUAUCAGCUUGUUGGUGGGGUGAUGGCCUACCAAGGCUUUGCCGGGUAGCCGGCCUGAGAGGGUGACCGGUAACAUAGGGACGGAGAUACGGCCCAGAGUCGUACGGGAGGCAGCAGUGGGGAAGAUGGCACAAUGGGCGCAAGCGUGAUGCAGCGACGCCGCGUGAGGGAUGGAGGCCUUCGGGUUGUGAACCCCUUUCGCUCAUGGUCAAGCCGCAACAAUGGUUGUGGUGAGGGUAGUGGGUAAAGAAGCGCCGGCUAACUACGUG
rnacentral:rRNA from 1 species